AUGUAUGGUGACACAUCCCUGAGCACGCCCGUUCUCGUCUGAUCUCGGAAGCUAAGCAGAGUCGGGCCUGGUUAGUAGUUGUAUGGGAGAUUGACUGGGAAUACCAGUUGUUGUAUUGG
rnacentral:rRNA from 1 species